GAUGAACGCUGGCGGCGUGCCUAAUACAUGCAAGUCGAGCGAACGGACGAGAAGCUUGCUUCUCUGAUGUUAGCGGCGGACGGGUGAGUAACACGUGGAUAACCUACCUAUAAGACUGGGAUAACUUCGGGAAACCGGAGCUAAUACCGGAUAAUAUUUUGAACCGCAUGGUUCAAAAGUGAAAGACGGUCUUGCUGUCACUUAUAGAUGGAUCCGCGCUGCAUUAGCUAGUUGGUAAGGUAACGGCUUACCAAGGCAACGAUGCAUAGCCGACCUGAGAGGGUGAUCGGCCACACUGGAACUGAGACACGGUCCAGACUCCUACGGGAGGCAGCAGUAGGGAAUCUUCCGCAAUGGGCGAAAGCCUGACGGAGCAACGCCGCGUGAGUGAUGAGGGUCUUCGGAUCGUAAAACUCUGUUAUUAGGGAAGAACAUAUGUGUAAGUAACUGUGCACAUCUUGACGGUACCUAAUCAGAAAGCCACGGCUAACUGCGUG
rnacentral:rRNA from 1 species